rnacentral:misc_RNA from 1 species
CAAUACCAUGAAGCACACAUCAUAUGAUUAUCAGGGUAAAAAUAAACUUGCAGAGGAUUCCCAUGGACGAAUUUCUGCCAUUCCAGCAGUUGUUGGUCCAUCUGCUUCUUCAUUUAAACAUGAUAAAUGNNNNNNNGCCACUGAUUUUUUCAGUCAGGUUUCUCAAGAAAAAGUAAAGGGAGAAGGCUUUGAUUCACGCACACAGAAUAAAGGCUGUAGAUCACAGAAGUCUAUAGGUCCAGGUGGAAAUUUCGGCACCAAUUGUGGAUCCAUUCCAGUUCAUAGCAUGCAG